UACGUAGGGUGCGAGCGUUAAUCGGAAUUACUGGGCGUAAAGCGUGCGCAGGCGGUUCGCAAAGUCAGCUGUGAAAGCCCCGGGCUUAACCUGGGAAUGGCGGUUGAAACUUGCGGACUAGAAUCUGGCAGAGGGGGGUGGAAUUCCACGUGUAGCAGUGAAAUGCGUAGAGAUGUGGAGGAACACCGAUGGCGAAGGCAGCCCCCUGGGCUGAGAUUGACGCUCAGGCACGAAAGCGUGGGGAGCAAACAGG
rnacentral:rRNA from 1 species